CCUGAUGGAAAUGGCUGAAGAAGAGCGGCGAGAGUACCAGCGACGGAAACAGGAAGAAGAGGAGAAGGCUAGACUUGAGGCAGAGGAGAGGAGGCAAAAGGAAGAGGAGGCAGCAAGGCUGGCUCUGGAAGCAGCUAGGAAGCAAGCCCAGGAACUAGCCAGGCAAAAAGCUGCUUUGGAGGAACAGCUUCAUUUCUGGCAAGAGCUCCAGAGAGAAGCCAGCGGCCUGCAGUGGACACACAACAUCUCCAGACCAUGGGUCUACUCCUAUUUCCAUCUUCUACAACUACCCAGGCCGUAAGGCAACCAAAACCUACAAAA